rnacentral:pre_miRNA from 1 species
UUAACUCAAAUUUGUAUGGAGUUGGAACAGCGCCCCUAGCGGCUAACGUAGACAAACGUUCAAACUCCAUACAAAUUUGUGUUA